AGUGAACGCUGGCGGUAGGCCUAACACAUGCAAGUCGAACGGCAGCACAGUAGGAGCUUGCUCUUACGGGUGGCGAGUGGCGGACGGGUGAGGAAUACAUCGGAAUCUACUUUUUCGUGGGGGAUAACGUAGGGAAACUUACGCUAAUACCGCAUACGACCUACGGGUGAAGGCAGGGGAUCUUCGGACCUUGCGCGAUUGAAUGAGCCGAUGUCGGAUUGGCUAGUUGGCGGGGUAAAGGCCCACCAAGGCGACGAUCCGUAGCUGGUCUGAGAGGAUGAUCAGCCACACUGGAACUGAGACACGGUCCAGACUCCUACGGGAGGCAGCAGUGGGGAAUGUUGGACAAUGGGCGCAAGCCUGAUCCAGCCAUACCGCGUGGGUGAAGAAGGCCUUCGGGUUGUAAAGCCCUUUUGUUGGGAAAGAAAAGCAGCAGGUUAAUACCCCGCUGUUCUGACGGUACCCAAAGAAUAAGCACCGGCUAACUUCGUG
rnacentral:rRNA from 1 species